CAAAGCAAAAGAUGGCUCAUACUGCAGGAUCAAAGAGUUUUGCAUGUUUGAUGACAGAAAAGGUAUAUUUUAAUUAAAUACUGCAUAUAUUAAUAUAUAGUGUCAAUUAUUCAUUACUCUUUAUGAUUGACUAGGCAAAAAAUGGUGUGGAGCCCUCACGUGCAAAAAUAUUUAUAGAAACACAUAAAUAACGAAAAGAUGGGAGAUCAAUUGAUAGUGAGUCAGCCCAAA
rnacentral:lncRNA from 1 species